AGGAACACGUGAACAACCUGCCUUCGAGUUGGGGAUAGCUUCUGGAAACGGGAGAUAAUACCGAAUAACAUCAUUGGUCGCAUGACUGAAUGAUCAAAGCAGCAAUGCGCUUGAAGAGGGUUCGCGUCCCAUAGCUAGUUGGUGAGGUAACGGCCCACCAAGGCGAUGAUGGGUAGCUGGUCUGAGAGGACGAUCAGCCACAUUGGGACUGAGAUACUGCCCAGACUCCUACGGGAGGCUGCAGUCGAGAAUUUUGGGCAAUGGACGAAAGUCUGAACCCCCAGCAAUGCCGCGUGCGGGAUGAAGGUCUUCGGAUUGUAAACCGCUGUCAAGAGGGACGAAUUUUGACGGUACCUCUGGAGGAAGCCACGGCUAACUACGUGCCAGCAGCAGC
rnacentral:rRNA from 1 species